UUGGGUGACGAGUGGCGGACGGGUGAGUAAUGUCUGGGAAACUGCCCGAUGGAGGGGGAUAACUACUGGAAACGGUAGCUAAUACCGCAUAACGUCGCAAGACCAAAGUGGGGGACCUUCGGGCCUCACACCAUCGGAUGUGCCCAGAUGGGAUUAGCUAGUAGGUGGGGUAAUGGCUCACCUAGGCGACGAUCCCUAGCUGGUCUGAGAGGAUGACCAGCCACACUGGAACUGAGACACGGUCCAGACUCCUACGGGAGGCAGCAGUGGGGAAUAUUGCACAAUGGGCGCAAGCCUGAUGCAGCCAUGCCGCGUGUAUGAAGAAGGCCUUCGGGUUGUAAAGUACUUUCAGCGAGGAGGAAGGCAUUGUGGUUAAUAACCGCAGUGAUUGACGUUACUCGCAGAAGAAGCACCGGCUAACUCCGUGCCAGCAGCCGCGGUAAUACGGAGGGUGCAAGCGUUAAUCGGAAUUACUGGGCGUAAAGCGCACGCAGGCGGUCUGUCAAGUCGGAUGUGAAAUCCCCGGGCUCAACCUGGGAACUGCAUUCGAAACUGGCAGGCUAGAGUCUUGUAGAGGGGGGUAGAAUUCCAGGUGUAGCGGUGAAAUGCGUAGAGAUCUGGAGGAAUACCGGUGGCGAAGGCGGCCCCCUGGACAAAGA
rnacentral:rRNA from 1 species